rnacentral:sRNA from 1 species
GUCUUCAUGAGGGAACAGCCGGGACCUAUGCAUCCAUCCCCUCACCCACAAGAGAGGGAUGAUGCCCCUGAAGGAACUGUCCUAGCCCUGCCUCUGUGUAGAAAGGAGGGAAAGUGCACAGCCAGCCUGGUGAUGCCAUGAGGACCCUGGGUUGUGGACAGGCCGAACAGCAGCUGGUGGACUGCGCCCAGGACUUCAAUAAUCAUGGCUGCCAAGGGGGUCUCCCCAGCCAGGCUUUCGAGUACAUCCUGUACAACAAGGGGAUCAUGGGUGAAGACACCUACCCCUACCAGGGCAAGGAUGGUUAUUGCAAGUUCCGACCUGGAGAGGCCAUCGGCUUUGUCAAGGAUGUAGCCAACAUCACAAUCUAUGACGAGGAAGCAAUGGUGGAGGCUGUGGCCCUUUACAACCCUGUGAGCUUUGCCUUUGAGGUGACUCAGGACUUCAUGAUGUAUAAAAGGGGCAUCUACUCCAGUACUUCCUGCCAUAAAACUCCAGAUAAAGUAAACCAUGCAGUACUGGCUGUUGGGUAUGGAGAAAAAAAUGGGAUCCCUUACUGGAUCGUGAAAAAUUCUUGGGGUCCCCAGUGGGGAAUGAACGGGUACUUCCUCAUCGAGCGCGGAAAGAACAUGUGUGGCCUGGCCGCCUGCGCCUCCUACCCCAUCCCUCUGGUGUGAGCCGUGGCAGCCA